CCUGUCGGUGACGAAUCGCCACUCGAUGUGGCUGAUAGCUGUUGUGGAAGGCUGUGUCUGUCCUUUUGAGCAUUUUAUGAAAAAACCUGUAAUAAUAUGGCUUGUGUGGUGAAAUGUUUUAAUGGAUCAUCUAAGACAUUCCUGCUUUA